rnacentral:rRNA from 1 species
GUGGGGAAUAUUGCACAAUGGAGGAAACUCUGAUGCAGCGACGCCGCGUGAGUGAAGAAGUAAUUCGUUAUGUAAAGCUCUAUCAGCAGGGAAGAUAGUGACGGUACCUGACUAAGAAGCUCCGGCUAAAUACGUGCCAGCAGCCGCGGUAAUACGUAUGGAGCAAGCGUUAUCCGGAUUUACUGGGUGUAAAGGGAGUGUAGGUGGCAUCACAAGUCAGAAGUGAAAGCCCGGGGCUCAACCCCGGGACUGCUUUUGAAACUGUGGAGCUAGAGUGCAGGAGGGGCAAGUGGAAUUCCUAGUGUAGCGGUGAAAUGCGUAGAUAUUAGGAGGAACACCAGUGGCGAAGGCGGCUUGCUGGACUGUAACUGACACUGAGGCUCGAAAGCGUGGGGAGCAAACAGGAUUAGAAACCCUAGUAGUCCC